AUGCUGCUGCGUUGCGUGCCUGCUAUAUGUUUGCAACGCUGCACCUAUACCAUGUAUUCUCAGCCUAGCCAGUUACAAGGAGGGUUGUCACAGAGCAUGGCCUUAUGGAAGCAUUCUCACUCACAUGCGGUCAGUUAUCACACAAAAAUGGGUUUAGUUAGUCUUUCUCCUAAGAGCACAACAUCAUCUCGUCUGCAAAAUGGGACAUGCUUUUCCUGCUUGGAGCAACAGUCUAAACACGUAUUAUCAGCGAGAGAUCGUAUCCUACAUGCUAAGCUUGAUAUGACCUCACAUCACAAGUUUUCUAGUAUUAGCUGGAAGGCGAGAAAGACCAGAAGUUUAGCUCAAAAAAUAGGAGGUACAGGCAUUGCUCUUUCCUUGAGUUUCGCAGUUUCUGGGAUAGCAAAUGCUGAGGGUCCGAUGGAUGAUGGCAUCGGUACCAGUACCACCCACAAUUCCGAAUCAUCCACUAGUUGUGCUCAUGGGAAGAAAGUUUACACAGAGUAUUCUGUCACCGGCAUUCCUGGGGAUGGUAGAUGCUUGUUCCGUUCUGUGGCUCAUGGUGAGUGCAUUAGGUCAGGGAAACCCAUACCUAAUGAGAAUCUUCAGAGAAAGCUCGCUGAUGAUUUAAGAACAUUGGUUGCUGAUGAGUUUAUCAAGAGACGGACAGAGACUGAAUGGUUUAUUGAGGGUGAUUUCGAUACAUAUGUCUCUCAGAUUAGGAAGCCACAUGUGUGGGGAGGAGAGCCAGAAUUGCUCAUGGCUUCUCACGUUCUUCAGAUGCCGAUCACUGUUUAUAUGCGCGAAGAAGCAGCUGGUGGUUUGAUAGCGAUCGCGGAGUAUGGCCAGGAGUAUGGGAAAGAAGACCCAAUCCGAGUCCUCUAUCAUGGUUGUGGCCAUUAUGAAGCGCUGCAUAUACCAGGAAACUCUGAGCCCAGGUCAAGACUGUAA
rnacentral:rRNA from 1 species